rnacentral:rRNA from 1 species
AUUGAACGCUGGCGGCAGGCCUAACACAUGCAAGUCGAGCGGAUGAAGGGAGCUUGCUCCUGGAUUCAGCGGCGGACGGGUGAGUAAUGCCUAGGAAUCUGCCUGGUAGUGGGGGAUAACGUCCGGAAACGGGCGCUAAUACCGCAUACGUCCUGAGGGAGAAAGUGGGGGAUCUUCGGACCUCACGCUAUCAGAUGAGCCUAGGUCGGAUUAGCUAGUUGGUGGGGUAAAGGCCUACCAAGGCGACGAUCCGUAACUGGUCUGAGAGGAUGAUCAGUCACACUGGAACUGAGACGCGGUCCAGACUCCUACGGGAGGCAGCAGGGGGGAAUAUUGGACAAUGGGCGAAAGCCUUAUCCAGCCAUGCCGCGGGGGUGAAGAAGGGCUUCGGAUUGUAAAGCACUUUAAGUUGGGAGGAAGGACAGUAAGUUAAUACCUUGCUGUUUUGACGUUACCAACAGAAUAAGCACCGGCUAACUUCGUG